UACGUAGGCAGCAAGCGUUGUUCGGAGUUACUGGGCGUAAAGGGUGUGUAGGCGGUUCUUUAAGUUUGGUGUGAAAUCUCCCGGCUCAACUGGGAGGGUGCGCCGAAUACUGAGGGACUAGAGUACGGGAGAGGAAAGUGGAAUUCCUGGUGUAGCGGUGAAAUGCGUAGAUAUCAGGAGGAACACCGGUGGUGUAGACGGCUUUCUGGACCGACACUGACGCUGAUGAGCGAAAGCUAGGGGAGCAAACGGG
rnacentral:rRNA from 1 species